UUUCCCCUUCAUUUUUGGAGGGGCGAAAAAUACGGUAUGUAUUUUACUCCUUAGCCUUUUCUAGUUUUUUUGUUUUGUUUUGUUUUGUUUUGCAGUAGUGGGGUGGGGAAGCCAUGUGCUUUAAAUGUAUGGCCUGAAUAUGACCUUAAUGUCAAACUAUUCUUCUUAAUACUGUAAGUGUAAGAGCACCCUAACAUUAGUCUGAUUUAUUUGACUCCCUAUAUGAAUCACUCCCCAUAGAAUAUCUCAAAGGGAUUUCCCUAUAGUCAUCAGCAAUGAAAACAAUUAAAAACACUUCCAAACAAAACAAAACCAAAACAAAAAAACCCCUCAUAUAUACCAACAAUUCGGUAUAUGUGCUGCCGAAGUGAGCACAUAUAUACCAACAAUUCAAAACAAUUCCACGUAUUUAAUUUUUUUAAGAUCCAAUAGACUAAUAAACCGGGGUAAGGCUUUCCACUUAAAAGGCUUUUUGAAAACAGAGUAUCUCCAAUAGGUGCUGAAAAGACAAAAUAGAUAGCACACGCCUGAUAUGUAACAGGAGGGAGUUCCAAAUGGCAGGUGCUGCCACACUAAAAGCCCACUUCUUAUAUCACAUGGGGCUGGCCUCUGGAUAGGAUGGUAUUUGCAGGAUGCCCCUUCUUACAGAGUGCAAUGAUUUGUUAGUUAUACAAGCGGCAACUGUUUUAGGCAUGUCCAAUUGAUGUGCGAUCACUGACUUGCGGGUGCUUUUGGACCUGGAAGAGGGCGGAAUGGGAGCACUUAGGUGCGCUCUGCCAAAUCAUGCGCCCAUCCACCCUGCAAAAUGGUCACCACUUGUAAUAAGGGGUUAAGACAUCUUUUAAAAAUUUGUCACAUUGUUAUUUUUUGAAAUGCAUGUAAUUCAGAGCAAGUACUCCAUAACAUAUCCAUAAUGAUGUGAUGGUUCCUUUGUGCCACUUGGGACUAGUUUCAUUUCUCUCCAUCUUUUCUUUUCCAAUUUAAAAUUAAGCAAAUUUGAAAAAUACAAAAUAAAAAUGAAGUGAAACCGUUCAGCAUGAUCAGCAACUAUUGCAUCUGGAGGGGAAAGGGAUGCAAGGUGCACCUAGGUAUCCUAGCAUCUUAAUAUGUGUGGCUCUUCAAGUGUGACCCUGCGCUGUGUUCAUAACUAAGACAUGCACUGUUGCACAAUUAUCAUUACUGUUAGGACAUCCAGAUGGGGCACUUCUGUCUUAUUAGAUUGUAGUCAAUGGCUGUGGUGCUGGUAGUAGUUCCCCUUCCAAAAAGUCAGAGAGGAGUCUUCAAAUGAAACUACUUUCAUUUUUAUGAAUCAUCCUGGCAUUUCUAUCAUCUGAUGAACGCUCCAUGGCUUUGGAGGGUAGGGUGAGGUAGAUGUUGGAGAGAGAGAAACAGCAGAUUUCCACAAGUGAGGAAGCUGUUGACAUGAAACUCCACCUCUUUAGACUUAUUAAAAUGAACUAUAGGCAAGCACAGUUUCAAGACCUGAGGAAGCUGAUUAAGCAGCUGAUUAAGUCAAUUAGGCUGCUUGGGGACUCCUCUCUCCUGUAGUAUUGUUAGCUAGGAAGCCUAAUAGGACAAUUAGGAUUAAUUAAAAUCAGCCUGAUUGAUUAGGACGUGUAAACCAGAGCAUCAGGCUCACAAGAGAGGUUAUGGGAAUAUUGAGGUGGCAUGCUCUUUCUGGCAUCUCAGUAUAACCAGUAAAAUGCAAGGCUUGGGCCAUCAUUUAAAUGGCCCUUGAAUUACCAUAUCUCAUUUCUCCAUAGCCAGUUAAAUGGCUCCAGCAGUUGUAGGUCCUUCUCAAAUUGCAUUACUCUAUAUGUGUUCUUAUUUCCGAAACUGAUUUUUCCAAAAGAACAUUGGGAGAGUGUCUAUGUUUGUAAAUCAAAACAAGAGUACUGCAAUAUAAAAUUGUUUGUUUGUUUGUUUGUUUAAGAAGAUAAAAAUAUUGUGUAUAGGGCAAUUGAACUGAAAGAUCAAUUUCUCAAAAUACUCUUUAAACAAAUUAUUGAAAGAAACCAUUGGCUAAACAAUGUGCUUCACUUGAUAACUAUUGCCACUUGAGAAAAUGUCUACUCUGGCUAACAAUAACAGAAUUUUCUGAAGGCUCAGAACUGAUGAUUGCUGCAUUGUCAUGUUUCUUCCCCAACUCUGCCCAUGUGAAAUUACCACCCCAAAAUUAUGCAUGCUCAUAUUUCUGGAAUCAUUUGUAGUAGUAUCCCAAUAAGGGUACUUUGUGAGAUAGGCUAUGGUCACCCAGUGAACUUCAUGCCUGUGUGGCAAUUUGAACUCAUGUUUCCUAGGUCCUAGUCAAACACCCAGUCAGGUGGGUGGGGUACUAUGAUGACGACGACUACUACUACUACUAAUUCAGACUGCUUUGUUAAACAAUCACACAAACAAAAUAAAAAGGCCAGCUUUAAUUUGUUUUUGUAACCAGCAUAGUAAGGAAAGUUUUCCUAAAAGGUGGCAUAUACAUACAUCAAAUUAAUUAAUGGUAUAGCAUUCAGCUUGGUCCUGAGGAUCAUACUUAAAUGAAAUGCAAAGGACAUUCAAUGCUACACACUUUCCAGCUCUUGCCUCCCCAAGUCACAUUUUGAUCAGGGCUCACUUUUGCAGGAUUCCUGUUUUUAUCAUCAUUGCCAAUUUAUGAGAAGUAAGUU
rnacentral:lncRNA from 1 species